rnacentral:rRNA from 1 species
AGUGAACGCUGGCGGUAGGCCUAACACAUGCAAGUCGAACGGCAGCACAGUAAGAGCUUGCUCUUACGGGUGGCGAGUGGCGGACGGGUGAGGAAUACAUCGGAAUCUACUUUUUCGUGGGGGAUAACGUAGGGAAACUUACGCUAAUACCGCAUACGACCUACGGGUGAAAGCAGGGGAUCUUCGGACCUUGCGCGAUUGAAUGAGCCGAUGUCGGAUUAGCUAGUUGGCGGGGUAAAGGCCCACCAAGGCGACGAUCCGUAGCUGGUCUGAGAGGAUGAUCAGCCACACUGGAACUGAGACACGGUCCAGACUCCUACGGGAGGCAGCAGUGGGGAAUAUUGGACAAUGGGCGCAAGCCUGAUCCAGCCAUACCGCGUGGGUGAAGAAGGCCUUCGGGUUGUAAAGCCCUCUUGUUGGGAAAGAAAAGCAGCAGGUUAAUACCCUGCUGUUCUGACGGUACCCAAAGAAUAAGCACCGGCUAACUUCGUG